AGAUCUGUUGGUAGGCAACGCGAAGGUGCAUUCAUGUCAUCCGGCAGGAGGAAUUCUCCACGAGUUUUGAGCAGCCUCGGUUUUCCCACCACCUCCAAAUCAUGCAAGACACAGGGUAAGAGCAAAGACAAGGUGGCUGUAGCCGAUGUCCACCCUCUCGGGGCGUCCCUUCUCUUUUCUCCUCCUUGGGCAGGGAGACCAUCCGGGUGCAACCUGGCUGGGGCGGGGAGGAGGUGCAGGGCCUGGCCAGAGCGGGCGCGGCCACGGGCAAGGGAAGGCGAGCACCUGGGCGGGGACAGUUGAGCGCGGCGCAGGCCUGGGCCCGGCGUGUCCGUGGUGCGGGCGAGAGGCCAGCAGAGGGCGCCAGAGAGCCAGGAGCGGCCCGCGGAGGAGCCCGCGCGGGCCCCGAUGCCCAGCUCCGCGCCGCGCGGACCCACCGAGCCCGCGCUCAGACGCCCCAGCUCCGCCGAGAGGCCGCUCGCGACGGGUCCUUCCUCUUCCCGAAGUGCAGGCAGAGCCCCCGGAGCCACAGCCAGCCCUUCCGGCAGCUCCGAAGCCACUGGCAAGCCCCGAGGCAGGGAUGGCCGGCCCAGGAGGGAGGAGGACGACGUCCCUCCCGAGGAGAAGAGGCUGCGGCUGUUGCUGGAGGGGGAAGCGCACAGCCCGAGGACUGCGAGGACGGGGAGGACGCGACGCGGCCGGGCAGGGAGGAGACCGGCACCCAGACAGGUGGCGACGGCAGAGGACACCAACAGUCUGCCAAAUCCAGAAGAAGAUGAUGGAAAUCAUGACCUGA
rnacentral:lncRNA from 1 species